rnacentral:rRNA from 1 species
GACGAACGCUGGCGGCGUGCCUAAUACAUGCAAGUAGAACGCACAGGAUGCACCGUAGUUUACUACACCGUAUUCUGUGGGUUGCGAACGGGUGAGUAACGCGUAGGUAACCUGCCUGGUAGCGGGGGAUAACUAUUGGAAACGAUAGCUAAUACCGCAUAAGAACAUUUACUGCAUGGUAGAUGUUUAAAAGGUGCAAAUGCAUCACUACCAGAUGGACCUGCGUUGUAUUAGCUAGUUGGUGAGGUAACGGCUCACCAAGGCAACGAUACAUAGCCGACCUGAGAGGGUGAUCGGCCACACUGGGACUGAGACACGGCCCAGACUCCUACGGGAGGCAGCAGUAGGGAAUCUUCGGCAAUGGGGGGAACCCUGACCGAGCAACGCCGCGUGAGUGAAGAAGGUUUUCGGAUCGUAAAGCUCUGUUGUUAAGGAAGAACGUGUGUGAGAGUGGAAAGUUCACACAGUGACGGUACUUAACCAGAAAGGGACGGCUAACUACGUGCCAGCAGCCGCGGUAAUACGUAGGUCCCGAGCGUUGUCCGGAUUUAUUGGGCGUAAAGCGAGCGCAGGCGGUUAGAUAAGUCUGAAGUGAAAGGCAGUGGCUCAACCAUUGUAGGCUUUGGAAACUGUUUAACUUGAGUGCAGAAGGGGAGAGUGGAAUUCCAUGUGUAGCGGUGAAAUGCGUAGAUAUAUGGAGGAACACCGGUGGCGAAAGCGGCUCUCUGGUCUGUAACUGACGCUGAUGCUCGAAAGCGUGGGGAGCGAACAGG